GCUCUCACCCAUGGCGUUUGCUGGUUAUGAGAUUUGCGGAACGUGUGGUGGUGGUAAAGGGCACCAACUGUUGUCAACCUGCAUGUGGGGGUCUGAGGUCUGGCUCUACAGCUUGUAAAAUGGAAAUAAUAAUGCCCAGAGGAUGAAAUUAGGCCACAUAGGCCGCUUGGCAUCAUAACCCUGCACUCAUUGGAUCAGCUGACUACCUAGACCAGUAACCUGGCUCAAUCAGUUCUGCCAUUCCACCCAGGAACAGAAAACAGCAAGAAAACCUCACUUUGACUCCCUGUGAUUCCGUCUUCAACCUGACCAAUCAGCACUCCCCGCUUCCCAAGCUCCUACUCGCCAAAUUAUCUUUAAGAACUCUGAUCCUCAAAUGCUCAGGGAGACUAAUUUGUGUAAUAAUAAAACUCUGGUCUCCCACACAGCUGGCUCUGCGUGAAUUACUCUUUCUCCAUUGCAAUUCCCUGGUCUUGAUAAAUCAGCUUUGUCAAGGCAGCAGGCAGGGUGAACCCACUGAGCGCUGACAUUGUGUGCCAAGCCAUGUUCUUGGGUCUGGAAAUAGAGCAGUGAACAAAAGUGUUUGUUCUCAUAUUAUUGACAGUAAAUAUCAGUUAUUCUGAGGCACAGAGUGGUUUAUUCACUGAAAAAUUUGCACUUUAGGCUGUGCUGGAAACUAUAUAUUAGGCAUUGAGCAUGCUUUACUAAACAAGCAGAUUGUUCUUGUCCUCUGUUUUGUUUUGUGACAGUCUUGCUCUGUCUCCAGGCCGGAGUGCAGUGGCCCAAUCUUGGCUCACUGCAACUUCCGCCUCCUGGUUUCAAGCGAUUCUUAUGCCUCAGACUCCCGAGUAGCUGGGAUUACAGGCAUGCGCCACCACCCCAGCUAAUCUUUGUAUGUUUGGUAUAGACAGGGUUUCACUAUAUUGGCCAGGAUGGUCUUGAUCUCCUGACGUUGUGAUCCGCCCCCCUUGGCCUCCCAAAGUGCUGGGAUUACAGGUGUGAGCCACUGCGCCCAGCCUGUUUUGUUUUAGAGACGAUUUUGCUAUGUUGCUCAGGCUGGGCUCAAGUGGUCCUCCUACCUCAGUAGGAGUAGCUGGGUAGUUGAGUAGCUAGGGCUACAGGUAUGUGCCCCCACAUCUGGCUAAUUUUUUGUAGAGGUGAGGUCUCCCUGUGUUGCCCAGGGUGGUCUCAAAUUCCUCCCACCUUAGCCUUCCAAAUUGCUGAGAUUACAGGUGUGAAGCCACCACACCUGACCUAUCAGUUUAUAGUCAGUGGUUAAGUGUGAUCCUCAGAUCAGCAGUAUCAGUAACACCUGGAAACUUGCUUGAAAUGCAAAUUUCAGACCCGCUUUACAUAGAUAAGAGCCAGAAAUUCUGGAGGUGGGGCCCAGCAAGCUAUGGUUUAAGGCCCUCCAGGUGAUUCCAUUGCUGAUUGAGAACCACUAGUCUAGAUGAAUAAUUUGCCAAAUUCAACUAAGAUAUGUUGAGCACCUGACCUAAACUGGUCCUCUGCUAAGCAUUUUCACAUGAUUCAUCCCACUUGACUCAUAUCGAUAUAGGAAAGUAAAUAUCCUCUGUCUUGCUUAAGGUUGCACCCACUAGGGCCGGGCAUGGUGGCUCAUGCCUGUAAUCCUAGCACUUUGGGAGGCCGAGACAGGCGGAUCACCUGAAGUCAGGAGUUUGAGAGCAGCCUGGCCAACCCUGUCUCUGCUAAAAAUACAAAAAUUAGCUGGAUGUCGUGGCACAUGCCUGUAAUCCCAACUACUCAGGAGGCUGAGGAAGGAGAAUCGCUUGAACCCAGGGGACGGAGGUUGCAGUGAACCAAGAUUGCACCACUGCACUCCAGCCUGGGACACAGGGCAACACUCCAUCUUAAAAAAAAGGUUGCACCCCUGAUAAGUGGUAGAUCCUAGAUUCAGUUUCUUUCUUCCCCCUCCCCCCACCUUUUUUUUUUUCUAUUUGAGACAAGGUCUCUGUCACCCAGGCUGGAGUGCAGUAGCAUGAUCUUGGCUCACUUCACCCUCUGCCUCCCAGGCUCAAGUGAUCCUCCCCACUCAGCCUCCCUAGUAGCUGGGACUACAGGCAUGUGCCACCACUCUUAGCUAACUAAGUUUUGUAUUUUUGUAGAGAUGGGGUUUCACCAUGUUACCCAGGCUGGUCUCAAACUCCUGGGCUCAAGCAAUCUGCCCGCCUUGGCCUUCCAAAGUGCUGGGAUUACAGGCAUAAGCCACCAUGCCCGGACCAUAGUUCAUAGUUUCUUUCUUUUUUUUGUUUUUUGAGAGUCUCACUCUCAAAAGGGGUAUGGGGCGGCUCCAGGGCCAGGGAUGGGACGGCCACAGUUGCGGCAGCUCCAGGACGAGCAAGUGGAUCCCGGGAAGCGCUGUGAGCUCCCGAGCCAGCCGGGAGGACGCUUACUACAGCUGCUCAGAAGCACUGCUGGAAGCUCAGAUGUGGGCGCCCCAGCCAGAAACCUAGAGGGGUACAGGGAAACUACCGAGAAGCCCCUCCUGAUGCCCCAGGGAGCAAGCCAACUCCUUCCAGGCUCCAGGAACACCACAAAGCAAUAUGAAACCUGUUCAUGAGAGGAGUCAGGAAUGCCUUCCACCAAAGAAACGAGACCUCCCCACAACCAGCUGCUCCACUAACCACACACCCUCCAGUGAUGCCUCUGAAUGGUCCCCAGGGGUUGUGGUGGCUGGGCAGAGCCAGAGUCCGCCUCGGGGUGAUGGAGCUGUGGCCAUCACCGGUCUGACAGUGGACCAGUAUGGCAUGCUGUAUAAGGUGGCUGUGCCGCCUGCCACCUUCUCACCAACUGGACUCCCAUCUGUGUGAAUAUGAGCCCCUUGCCCCCAGAAAAAAAAAUUUCAUGUACAGUUGAUUAAAGGGAAUGCUCCAUGGCUACUAGGAAUGAUGAAAAUGGGUUGGGCACGGUGGCUCACGCCUGUAAUCCCAGCACUUUGGUAGGCCGAGGUGGGCAGAUAACCUGAGGUCGGGAGUUUGAGACCAGCCUGACCAACAUGGAGAAACCCCAUGUCUUCUAAAAAUACAAAAUUAGCCGAGCGUGGUGGCUCAUGCCUGUAAUCCCAGCUACUCAGGAGGCUGAGGCAGGAGAGUCACGUGAACCUGGGAGGCGGAUGUUGCAGUGAGCCGGGAUCGUGACGUAACACCCUAGCCUGGGCAACAAGUGCAAAACUCCAUCUCAAAAAGAAAGAAUGAUGAAAAUGUCUGGGCAUAGUGCCUCACACCUGUAAUCCCAGCACUUUGGGAACUGAGAUGGGAGGAUUGCUUGAGUCCAGGAGUUCAAAAACAUAAUGAGACUUGUUUCUCCAAAAAAGAAAAAAAAAAGUUAUAGUUAUUAUUUAUUUAUUUUUGAGUCAGGGUCUUGCUCUGUCACCCAGGCUGGAUUUCAGUGGCAUGAUCUUGACUCACUGCACCCUCCACCUCUUGGGCUCAAGUGAUUCUCCUGCCUCAGCCUCUCAAGUAACUGGGAUUACAGGCACCUGCCAUCAUGCCCAGCUAAUUUUUGUAUUUUUAGUAGAGACGGAGUUUUACCAUGUUGGCCAGGAUGGUCUCAAACUCCUGACCCCAAGUGAUCUGCCUGCCUUGGCCUUCCAAAGUGCUGAGAUUAUAGGUGUGAGCUGCUGCGCCAGGCCAAAAAAAAAAAUUUUUUUUAAACUUAGCUGGGUUAGUCAGGAGGCCAAGAUGGGAGGAUCCCUUGAACCGAGGAGCUUGAGGCUGCAGUGACCUGUCAUUAGGCCACUGCACUCCCGUCUGGGCAACAGAGUGAGAUGCUGUCUCAGGAAAAAAAUAUUUUAAAAAAGUGAUGAAAAUGUAAUAUGUCAUUAGGGAACAUGUCCUAAUAAUGUAAUAACAUAUAUAUGUAGAAUAAGUUCAUUUUUAUAAAGCAAGUAUAUAAUUGUAUAAGAGUACAAAAAAAUGGCCAGGCAUAGUGGCUCAUGCUUUUAAUCCCAGCAUUUUUGGAGGCCAAGGUGGGUGAAUCACCAGAGGUCAGGAGUUCGAGACCAACUUGGUCAACUUAGUGAAACUUCGUCUCUACUGAAAAUACAAAAAAAUUUAGCUGGGUGGGCAUGGUGGCAGGUGCCUGUAAUUCCAGGUACUUGGGAGGCUGAGGUGGGAGAAUUGUUUGAACCCGGGAGGCAGAGGAUACAAUGAGCCAAGUUCGUGCCACUGGAUGUUAGCCUGGGUGACAGAAAAAAAAAAAAAGACAAAAAAAAAAAAAAGAAUAAACCUGGUAUCAUAUAUGUAGCACACAUAUUACCAGUGAUCAUCUUUGUGAUUCUAUGGGAAUAUGGGAAAUCCUCAUUUUCUACAUUACAUAUUUACAUGAUGCUUGAAUUGAAGAGAAAACCAAUACGGAUAUUUUUUAAAUUGUGGUUGUGGAGGGCAAUACUAACUUAUUCAAGAUUAUUCCUAGUAAAGGGCUACUCAAAAUUUACUGGUUUGAAAACUUUGUUAUCACCUGAUAAUUGAGAGCAUUUGGGAACUCUUACAGCAAGUUGAUAUUGCCCAGACUUCCAGAAGUGUCAUCAGUAGAUGGUUCUUGUUGAACAGGGUAUAGACCGCCUUGGGUUACUGAACUUGCAUGGCUAGUUGCAUGUAAACUAGUCACAUGCAGUAAAACCACAUACCACACCAGGCGCAGUGGCUCAAACUUGUAAUCCCAGCACUUUAGAAGGUGGAAGCAGGUGGAUCACCUGAGGUCAGAAGUUCAAAACCAGCCUGGCCAACAUGGUGAAAACCCUUUUCUACUAAAAAUACAAAAGUUAGCCAGGUGUGGUGGCACAUGUCUGUAAUUCUGGCUAUUUGGGAGGCUGAGGUGAGAGAAUUGCUUGAACCUGGGAGGCAGAGGUUUCAGUGAGCCGAGAUUGUGCCACUGCACUCCAGGCUGAGUGACAGAGUGUGUCUCCAUCUCAAAAAAAAAAAAAAAAACACAAAAAAAAGGAUGCCAAAUCAAACAUAACAUUUUAGAAAUCUAUCAUAGGAUAGCCAGGCACGGUGGCUCAUGCCUGUAAUCCCAAAUCCCAGCACUUUGAGAGGCUGAGGCAGGCAGAUUAUGAGGUCAGGAGAUCAAGACCAUCCUGCCCAACAUGGUGAAACCCCGUCUCUACUAAAAAUACAAAAAUUAGCCUGGUGCAGUGGUGGGUGCCUGUAGUCCUAGCUACUCAGGAGACUAAGGCAGGAGAAUCACUUGAACCCGGGAGGUGCAGGUUGCAGUGAGCCAAGAUCACCCAGCCUGGGCAGCAAGAGCGAAAACUCUGUCUCCAAAAAAAAAAAAAAAAAAAAAUCUAUCAUAGGAUUAUAUGAGGAGACCAAUUUUAUUUAUAUAGGAACUAUCUGUCUUUUUACUAGAUCUCUGAGCUCUGGGCAGAGCCCACACUGAUUCCUGGGAUCUCCAAAAAGGGAGCAUUAUUACGAGGCUAGAAUAUGUGAUGCUUUUUCAGUGCACUUAAAAAAUUUUUUUAAAUGAAGACACUUCUGUGUCCGGAAUUGGUGGGUUCUUCGUCUCACUGACUUCAAGAAUGAAGCUGCAGACCUUCGCGAUGAGUGUUAGAGCUCAUAAAGGCAGUGCGGACCCAAAGAGUGAGCAGCAGCAAGAUUUAUUGCAAAGCGCAAAAAAACAAAGCCUCCACAGUGUGGAAGGGGACCUGAGCUGGUUGCUGCCCCUGGCUGGGGCAGCCUGCUUUUAUUCCCUUAUCUGACCCUAUCUCCUAUUACAAAUAGUAGGAGGCCGGGCAUAGUGGCUCACGCCUGUAAUCCCAGCACUUUGGGAUUCUGAGAUGGGUGGAUCACCUGAGGUCAAGAGUUCAAGACCAGCCUGAUCAACAUGGCAAAACCCCAUCUCUAUAAAAAUACGAAAAUUAGCUGGGCAUGGUGGCACAUGCCUAUAGUCUCAGCUACUCGGGAGGCUUAGACAAGAGAAUUGCUUGAACCCGGGAGGUGGAGGAGAUCGCACCACUACACUCCAAUCUUGGCGACAGAGCAAGACUCUGUCUCAAAAAAAAAAAAAAAAGAUUUUUUUAGAUGUUCCCACUUUAUACCAAAAUCUAUGUGGCCACACAAUAAAGCCCUUCUUUGCUAGCUCCAUGGUGAACCUCCUUGUGAUCUUUUCCAAUUCAUUAUCCUGUAAAAUAAGAAAACAAUAAAAAUAAGAUAUAAAAAUCGCUUGAGAUUAUAGCUAGCAUCUUAUUUUCUAUUUAUAGUACAUUCUCAUAUGUCUUCUCUUGUAAUCCUUAGAACAACUCAUAAAGUAGGCAUUGCCAUUUUAAAGGUGAGGAAAUAAGGGAUCAAAAAAGUAGAUUAUAAAAACAGGAUAGUAGAACUAGGACUCAAAUUCCCAUUCUAUUAAUUCCCCACUGAAAAAUAUACUAAGUCUUUUUUUUUUUUUUUUUUUUUGAGAUGGAGUCUUGCUCUCUCGCCCAGGCUGGAGUGCAGUGGCGCGAUCUCGGCUCACUGCAAGCUCCGCCUCCCGGGUUCACGCCAUUCUCUUGCCUCAGCCUCCCGAGCAGCUGGGACUACAGGUGCCCGCCACCACACCCAGGUACUUUUUUUUUUUUGUAUUUUUUAGUACAGACGGGGUUUCACCAUGUUAGCCAGGAUGGUCUCGAUCUCCUGACCUCGUGAUCUGCCCGCCUUGGCCUCCCAAAGUGCUGGGAUUACAGGCGUGAGCCACCACGCCUGGCCUACUAAAUCUUAAUUAAGAUUAAUUGAAAUAUAAUUAUAUUCCAUGUAAAUGGUGAAUUUUAAAGAGAAUAAAAAUCAUACGCGUUUAUGUUUGUAUACAGAUAAUUUAGUAUUAUGUAAAGCAUUGUGACAACCAGUUUGAAUUUGCUUGGAACUGACAGGAUAAAAAGUAAGGUUUUUAUAGGCUUAGUUAAGAUAUUUGUCUAGAAUGAAAUCCUGACUUAAAAACUUCAGAUCACAGUAAUACUUUUUUUCUUUUUGAGACAGAGUCUUUCUCUGUUGCCGAGGGUGGAGUACAGCAGUGAAAUCUCGGCUCACUGCAACCUCUGCCUCCUGAGUUCAAGCAAUUCUCAUGCCUGAGCCUCCCAAGUAGCUGGGAUUACAGGUGCGCACCACUACGCCUGAUUAAUUAGAUCACAGUAAUUCUUAAAUAUGGGUUUAAGUGUCUAACAAUAUGAAAAUAUUAAUUACCUUUUUAAUAAGUAAGAACAUAAUAAUACAAAAAGCAAAAAAAUAAUACAAGACUCAUAAAAACAAAACCAAACAAAACAAAAUGAUAAAGGAUAUAGAUAUUAAGUAGGUGACCUUUAUAUGGCAAAACACUCAAUGAGUUAAUUCUUUACUUUUUUCAUUCCAUUUGAAAAGCAAUGGGGACCAUUGAUCUCACUGAUAUGGGGGAUACAGAGAAGCCCAGUAAUUUCAAGUCCUUCAUAAAUGCACUGUGUGCACAAAUAUCACUUUGAGGCCGGGUGCGGUGGCUCAUGCCUGUAAUCCCAGCACUCUGGGAGGCCAAGGCGGGCAGAUCACCUGAGGUCAGGAGUUCAAGACCAGCCUGGCCAACAUGCUGAUACCGCCUCCCCUACUAAAAAUACAAAAAUUAGUUGGGCAUGGUGGCAUGCACCUGUAAUCCUAGUUACUGAAUCAAGGAGAAUCGCUUGAAUCCGGGAGACGGAAGUUGCAGUGAGCCGAGAUUGCACCAUUGCACUCCAGCCUGGGCGACAGAGCAAGACUCUGUCUCAGAAAAACAAAAACAACAACAAAAAAAAACAAGUAUCACUCUCAUAUUUACAGUAUAGUUCUUGGGAUUGAUCUUAACACCAGCUUUAGCACCCCCAAAUGGCACAUCUGAAAGACAAGGCUGAUGGUUGUUAUUCCAUAUAAAGGUUAAAAAAGUAAAAUGACAGAAAAUGCCACACAAUAUUAGAAAAACGUGUGAUGCUUUAAGCUUGAAUUUCUGAAAGUUCAAGAAAUAAACCUACCAUAGUUUUCUAAACUGUACUUUAAACAACAUUUUAUUGAACAGAAAUUGUUCAAUAAAAUUGGCUAGCCAAGUUCUAAUAUAUAUAUUUUAUAUAAUUAAUAAUAAUUAACCAAUAAUAAUAAAUACUUCAACCUCUAAUCCAUAGAUUGCAAAUACAAUGAUAGCUUAUUUUCUUGGGGAACAGCAGUUGGUGGGGACAGAGGGAAUGGGAAAAGGACUUUUGCUGAAAGGAGGGAUGACAGGAACACAAGGCUAUGGGUGAAAAGAAGAACAAAUAGAACAAACAGCAGAGAGGGCAGCUGGCCGGGGUGGGGUGGGCGCCUCCCUGGCCUUGCUCCAGGACUCAGGACUGGGUCCUGCCUGGGCCACCCCUCCUGCCAAGGCCCUGGCCUCUUCCCAGGGUGACUGGUCCACUCCUAGACCCUAGAACAUCUGAAGGGCAGGGGUCCCAAUGGCCUGAGAGGGUAUGGGCCAGGGGCAGCAGGCUGACCCACCUGGGCCCAAAAGCCACCUGUGUUUGGGGGCCGGCAUGCUGUCUAGAGAGAGUGCCCUGGGAAAGGGGCACACGGGAGUUUCUCUCCUGAGAAGCCCCCAUGCAGGUCGGGGCAAAGGAGAGGGCUUUAUCUGCCUUGAGGGCAGCGCUCCCUAAGUGAAGCAGGCCUACCCCAGAAGCACAGGGACUUGGCUGGCGCCUGAACUUCCUGUGCGAAGCAGCACCUGCUCUUGGAGCCCCUUAGCCUGCUGGUGCACACCUGGUUUCCAAGUCCUGCCUGGGGACUUGCUAGGUGGGGGACGGACCUGGAACAGGACCCUAAGCCCACCCCCUCCGCAUACCUGGCGGUCCAGGGCUCCCCGCCCAGUGGAGCCAGCACAGGCUAGCCAGGCCCCACUCCUGCGUCACCCCCGGAGGCCAAGCUCCUCUCCUGCACUGGUGCCGUCCUGCCUGGCAGGUAGUUCUGGGGGCAGGGUCAAAGGAGAAGGGAGGGCCGCAGCCCUCUGGGAAUGGCCUUUCUGAGCCACCAGUGGCUGGACUGGGGCUCUGGCAGGAGUUGGGGACAUUAACAACACCCCCAUCCUCCCCUGGGCUCCACCUCAUCUGACGCUCCAGAACCCCCUGCCCCAAGCCCCUACACACUCUGUUCUAUUCCUCAGCCCCUCUCAACGUCCUGGCACCAUGGGGCCCAAUGCCUGUCCUCCCUUGAGAAGGAACAGCUCUGGGGCAACGGGCAGCGGGGUGCCCUCCCUGCCACCAAGAUUUGGUGCCUGGAGCUGGUGGAGGGCUGGCCGCAUCUCUCUGGCACACCAGCUCCUGCUCCCCCAACCUAUGGCUUUGGGGCAGAGCCUGAAGGGAGGAAGAAGGUGGGGGGGGGGGUCCGCGGCUGUUUGUGGCAAAUAAGCUUUUUUUUUUUCCUUUUUUAAUCCUUUUUCUUAUGUAAAAAGUGCACAAAAGCUCGGCAGCCUUUGCAAGUGUCAGCAGUGUUUCCUGGGGUGGGGGAACUGGGAGGGGCACCAGGCCUGGCACCCACCUUGCGACUGAAGGUGGCCUCGUAUUGCUUAGAAAGGUAUGUUUCAGUUUAAAUACCAGACAGUAAAAAUAGAGCUCGAGGACCACCUGCACUGUUGCCAAAUCAUUGCCAGAAUGAAUAGCUUAAAUAAAUAAAAAAUAGAAAUAUUUACUUCUCAAUAAAAAUAAAAGUAAAACCAUUUACCUUUCUUUGCAUUAUAUAUAAUAUAUAUUUAUAACGGGUCUGGCUGUGGGCAGCGGAGCUAAGGGCAGCGGAGGGGUCAGGACAUCUCGAUGACCUCCACGCUGCCCGAGAAGCUCGCCUGCUUGCCCAUGGCGGCCAGCUCCUCGCCGCGAGUGCGCCCCUCCAGGAUGCCCUCCUCGAACUCCAUCUGGCAGCUGCAGCGCUUGAUCUGCGUCUCCGUCUCCGGGGCGGCUCGUCGGGCCAGUUGGUCCGCGCGUCCCGGGGCUCAGCCCUUGCUGCCUCCGGCCGCCGCAGGUCGCUGCCGCCGCCCCGUCUCGGGGCGCCCGCCUGGCCAAAGGGCGCGAACAGCACCCCGCCCGCCCCCUGCGCGCCCUCGGGGCUGAAGCACUAGGGCCCGUCGGGCGACGGCGUGCCCGGGGAGUCAAGCGGUGGCGCCCAGACUCCGGGGCCGGCUGGCCAGGGCCGGGCAGCCUGGGCGCCGACAGGGCCGAGAGGCCGAGGCUGUGCGCGGGGGAGCGGGGAGCCGGCUGGGGGCCUGGGCCGCCCGCAGGGCCGUGGGCGCGCGGCAUCCGGGCUGUCGGGGCUGGGCGAAGGUAGGCUCAGCGUGGCUCCGACGGGCCGUGCAGCUUGCAGAGCUUUGGGACCUCGCCGGGGUCGGGUGACCCGGGGCCGUUGGGCCGCCGGCCGGGGGUGUUCGCUGAUUUGAUGUACAGCGAGAAGGAGCGCUUGAGGCGGUUGGUGUCCUGCAGGCGGUCAGAGGAGAGUACAGGCCGCGCAGCCCUGCUGCAGCGCGCAGGUGUCUGGGGGCGUGGGGGGCAGUGGGGGCUCCCCGCCCGCGCUCAGGCCGCCCUCCCUGGCAGCUGCACUCCCGGUGGCAGCGCUUUCUGAGGUAGGUGGUGGCAGCCAUGGCAGCCGGGCCCCAGCCGCAGGGCUGGGCGGAGGCUCCGGCGUCCCUGAGGGGGUGCCCGCAUCCCCCUGCACGGUGGCCAGCAGCUUCAGGCUGCGCUCCUACUCCAGCAGCUGGCCCAGGAAGUUGAAGUUGGGCGAGAUGGACUGGCGCCUAUCCUUCAUGAACCUGUAGGUGUCGUCGGAGGAUAUGCCCAUGGUCUUCAUGAUGUAGGCGAUGGCGAUGGUGGCAGAGUGGGAGAUACCGACCAGACAGUGGACGAUGACUUGGCAGCUGGACAGCUUGCCUUUACAGAUGAACUCCAUAGACUUGUCCAGCCAGGGCAGCAGCUUUUCACAGUAGUUGUCGUUGAUGGGGACCCGCAUGAAGCGGCUCUCGCAGAUGAAGUCAGGCUUGGGGCAGGAGUUGCUGGCAUUGAGGACGUAGCUUAUUCCAUUCUGUGUCGUCAGAUCCUUGUUCAGAACGUCUUUCUGCGAGCCCAGGUAGAGGUGAGGCAGGAUGAGGGUCAGGCUCACGCUAGGCACGGGCAGGCAGGGCUGGGAGAGGCUCAUGGGUAGCAGGGCAGCAGGCUUGCCCUGGCAGAGGCUGGGGAAGCAGGAGGAGAAGGUGGCGAAGCCCCCCGUGAGGAUGGCCACGCUGUCGAAGCAGCUGUCCAGCUUGCUCAGCAGGAUGGAGAGGAAGCGGUCUGCGGCCAGCACACUGGCGUCCCGUGUGCUCUGGUCAUAGACCACCAUAUCCUGUGGCUCAGUGGCCUCCAUUUGGCUGCGUGUGGCCAGCCAGAUGAACUCUGCAAUGGUCACCUUGCCCUUCUGCAGCCGGCACUUCACCAGCUUGGAGCAGCAGAUGUUGACGGAGCUGAGCACAUGCCAGCUGUUGUACUCCAGGAAGGAGCGGCUGUAGAUGACCAGGCACCCUAGGCCCGCCCCGCAGCAGGCUGGCCAGCUUCUUGGCGUCCAUCAUCUUCCUCGGGAGCCGGUCUCCGGCCAUGGUGGGGCAAUGGGUGGUGGGGAGGGUGACCCCUGACGUGAGGAGGGGUUGCUCGGAUGGCCCAAGUGUGGCCUUGCACUGGGAGUGACCUAGCACAUGGUGCCGGACCUCGUUAGCGCUCGCCUCGGGGGGCGUUCCGGGGGACCCGCGCUGCCCUCGCCAGCUCGGCUGCGCCGACCAUGGGCCCUUUGGCGGGGGCCCGCGCAGCCAAGGCAGGGGCGGGGUCUCUAAUAUAGAGUUAAUCAGUGCUCUUUACAACUUCUAAAAGAUAAUAGCUUAUUUACUAUCCUUCUACUAUAAUUUGGUCUUAUUUAUAGAAUAUGUUGAGGAAUUGAAAACAAAGAUCUAGACUUAAAAUUCAAUAAGCUCCUAUAAAAAAAAUCCCUCACAUAAAAAAAGGCUAUAUAUUAAUUUAGACUAAUUGAAAAAUGAUGCAGGUCUUAAAGAGGACAACUUAAAAAAAAUCAGUUCUGAUAAGGUAUAUUUCUAUAGCAUCUUAACAGUAACCAUGUGAGUAAACAUAUUUCCCCAGAGUUCUCAUUAGGUAGCAAGAAAGGCGAUCACUUACCAACCACUGCACACUUGUAUGUCAUCAGGGAAGCCAAAGUUUUUACUUCAUCUACACUCACAUCAAUGCUGUAAUGGAUAUUUGGUGGUGUUUUUUUUAAAAAUGUGUUGGGGUAGGUGAGAAAGAAGGGGAUAUAUUUAGAACAAACUUCAGUAAGUUUCAAAAAAGAAAGCUACAAAUUGAAAAUAUCCACUUUUUACAUUUUACACCCAAGCUAUGUCCAAAAACACUUGAAGCAGCUCAUAUGUCAGAACACCAUAAAAAAUGAAUAUAAAACGUUUAAAAAACUGCUAAUAACAGUAACUAUGAUUUCACAAGACAAAAAUCACUGUGCAAUGAAUUUUUUUACACUUUCCAGAAGGCUUUUUUAUGUUCCUUUUACCUUUUGGUUUGGGUGACUCCGGGGUGGCCAGGACCAAAUGUGUCUCCUUCUGGCUUUUUGCACCACACCAAGUAACCCGCGCCAGGCCGCACAGCUGCCCUGGCCUUGGGGAGGACUAAGGCAAGGGCGGUGUACGCUGCUCCGGAGUCCCACCGCAGGAGUUGAGGCAGCGAGUUCCGAGGGCGGGGUGGGGCGGAAUCGGGAGGGAUACGGACCCGGUGGAACGCACUGCGUAGACGGCGCCGGCGCCCGCACUCAGCUGUUGACAGUCUUUCUUCCAGCUCUCCCCUGAAAGUCGUCCAGGCGCCGGUCUCUUUUUUCUGCCUUUUUGUUUCCCUCCGGAGAGUCGGCGCGACGGUGAAUUUCCGUUUCCGGUGGUGUCCAAUCCGACCUGAGGAGUCACAGUUGUGAGCAAGUUCGGUGCCGCGGGCUGGGAUUAGAAUUACUUGUUAUUGGUAAAUAGCCACUAUGGAGACUAAGGACCAGAAGAAACAAAGAAAGAAAAAUAGUGGACCCAAAGCUGCAAAGAAAAAGAAGCGGCAUCUGCAGGAUCUCCAGCUAGGAGACGAAGAAGAUGCCUGGAAGAGAAAUCCCAAAGCUUUUGCAUUUCAGUCUGCUGUGUGGAUGGCUCGAUCCUUUCACAGGACUCAGGAUUUGAAGACAAAAAAGCAUCAUAUUCCAGUGGUUGAUCGAACUCCACUAGAGCCCCCACCAAUAGUGGUAGUGGUGAUGGGGCCUCCAAAGUUGGAAAGAGCACUUUGAUACAAUGCCUCAUUCGGAACUUCACCCGGCAGAAGUUGACCGAGAUCAGAGGCCCUGUGAUGAUCGUGUCAGGUAAAAAGCUCCGACUCACCAUUAUUGAAUGUGGGUGUGACAUUAACAUGAUGAUUGAUCUGGCUGAAGUAGCAGAUCUGGUUGCCAAGCUGUUCUGCCUUUCUGGAAUGGUGCAUGGAGAAUAUCAAAACCAAGAAAUGCACAAUCUGGGCCAUUUUAUUACAGUUAUGAAGUUUAGGCCUCUCACAUGGCAGACUUCUCAUCCUUAUAUCCUGGCAGACAGGGUGGAAGAUUUGACAAACCCAGAGGAUAUCCAAACAAACAUCAGAUGUGACCAGCAGAUGUUACUUUACGGUUAUUUAAGAGGAGCGCACUUGAAAAAUAAAAGCCAAAUUCACAUGCCAGGACGAGGUGGGGCCCACCCAUGAGCUGGUCCAGAGUCUCAUCUCCACCCACUCCACCAUUGAUGCCAAGAUGGCUUCAAGUCGAGUGAUGUUGUUUUCUGAUUCCAAGCCACUUGGGUCAGAGGCUAUAGAUAAUCAAGGUGUCAGAGAUGGCUUUGGAUUCCCCGUUCUGUGUGCUGCUGUCUGGCUCCUGAACCCAGCUGUAGAGGUGUGUCAAUCCCAACUGGUGAAGUACUGAGAGGAAGCUACACAAAAGGCAGCAAAGUAUUAGUGAGUGGUGUCAUUGAGCAAACACGAAGUCGGGCUCAUCCAAGGAUGAGAUUUUGCCAGAGAAAGGACGAGCAGCAAGUCAGGGAGCUUAAGGAUGGAGUCUUGCUCUGUUGUCCAGGCAGGAGUGCCAUGGCACGAUCUUGGCUCACUGCAGUCUCUGCCUCUUGAGUUCCAGUAAUUCUCCUGCCUCAGCCUCCUGAGUAGCUGGGAUUACAGGCAUGCACCACCACACCCAGCUAAUUUUUGUAUUUUUAGUAGAGACAGGAUUUCACUACAUUAGCUAGGCUGGUCUCAAACUCCUGACCUCAGUUGAUCCACCUGCCUUGGCCUCCCAAAGUACUAGGGUUACAAGUGUGAGCCACCAUGCCCAGCUGAGAUCUGAUGGUUUUAUACAUGUUUGACAGUUGCUCCUUCACAUGUUGCCACUCUCUGUGCGGCCACCAUGUAAGUCGGACCUGCCCUUCUGCCAUGAUUGUAAGUUUCCUGAGGCCUCCCCAGCCAUGUGAAACUGAGUCAAUUAAACCUCUUCCCUUUAAAAAUUACCCAACCUCAGGUAUUUCUUUAUAUCAGUGUGAAAACAGAUUGCUAUACUUUCUGAUAAUCAUGCUUAAGCAAUUGGGGAAUUCAGACUACCUGGGAUCAAACCAGGGCCCCACCCUUAGCAGUCAUGUGACCUUGGGGAGGUUACUUACCUUCUCCGUCUCAACAACUUCUGUAAAAUCUGUAACAUGAGAUUGUUUCUGAGGGUUAAAUGAGCAUAGCACAGUGGGGACACUGUCAGGCACACACUACUUGCCAGAUGUCAAGUAUUCAUCUUUAUUGAAAUAGGACUGUGGUAAGCCACUUUAUGGCUCUCGAUUCUGUAUGAGAAAAUCAUGCUUAGUGCCUUGUUAGUAAAAGAAAGAAAAUCUGAAAGUCCCUGCCAUGGAAGGAAGAAAUAGCGGGGAGAAAAGGGAGUUGGUAAGUUUCAGCAUUUCAGAGCUUGGAGGGACAAGUUAGGUUUCUAUUUUAUGGAGAAGGAGGUGGAGGCAGGAUGGGUCCUAAGGUGUCAUUCAAAACACACAGCCAUAACUCUUUAUUGAGAGUAGAGCUAGGGCCGCAGGGAUUGCUGUGGUCACGUUGCGGACAAAAAUGACCACUCGUUGGAAGACAGGAGAGGAGUGUUUAGUUACAAAAGCAGUCAACAAUUCAGGUGUAUCUAUAUUCAGUCAGCAAAUAAAAGUUGUUCAACUUGGUUGCUAAUGGGACCCACUCUACUGAGGCUUUGUAUAGAACUCAUAGAGGAAGAUGGCUUCAAGCAAUGAACUACCCUGUGCUUUUCUUAGGACUAAAAUCUCAGGAAGUUGGUGAUGAAUGAAAACCUUAGUCCCACUGGCACUGCACGAGGGGCCAGGAGAGCAGCAGCAUCAUAAGCCACAGGGUGGGGCAGCCAAGGCAGGGGCAUUCUGAGCUGUUGGGGAGGGGUGGCAGGCAGGGUGGGGCACUGUGAGGUGUCGGGGAGGGCAUUGUGAAGUGUGGGGUGGGGCAUUCUGUGCCACAUGCCUGGGCUCCCACCUGGGGCCAGUGGGCUUCAGUCUGUAGGUGACUACAGAAGGAGGAGGAGCUCCGUCUGUUCUCUCUUCAGGCAGUUGUUGUGUCUCUCAGCGCUUGUUGGGUUCACAACCUAUUAAAUAAGCCAGCUGGUCUUCACCCUCCCAGACAAGUCAACUCAGGGGAGGCAGCAGGGUGUGGGCCUUGACCCGCAGCCCUAGCCGGGGCCGGGGCCGGGGCCAGGGAUGGUGCCCGGGGCCGCGCUGUGAGGUGGGCAGGCGAGGAGCGGGAAGACCAUCUCUGCAAGUGCAGCAUAGCCUCGGCCUAGGACAGUGGGAGUGUGUGGCCAAAGCUGUGAGCAGAGGCACAGGUGGUGGCAGACAGUAGAGGCGCCCCAUGGGGAACAUACUGACCUGUUGUGUGCACCCUAGCGUCAGCCUCGAGUUUGACCAGCAACAGGGGUCGGUGUGUCCCUCUGAAUCUGAGAUCUAUGAGGCAGGAGCUGGGGACAGGAUGGCAGGAGCGCCCAUGGCUGCUGCUGUGCAGCCUGCUGAGGUGACCGUUGAAGUUGGUGAGGACCUCCACAUGCACCACAUUCGUGACCAGGAGAUGCCUGAAGCUUUGGAGUUUAGCCUUUCUGCCAAUCCAGAGGCAAGCACAAUAUUCCAGAGGAACUCUCAAACAGAUGCUUUGGAGUUUAACCCUUCUGCCAAUCCAGAGGCAAGCACAAUAUUCCAGAGGAACUCUCAAACAGAUGUUGUAGAAAUAAGAAGAAGCAACUGUACAAACCAUGUAUCUACUGAGCGUUUCAGUCAACAAUACAGCUCGUGUUCGACAAUAUUCCUUGAUGACAGCACAGCCAGCCAGCAUUAUCUUACAAUGACAAUAAUAUCUGUGACCUUGGAGAUACCUCAUCAUAUCACACAAAGAGAUGCAGAUAGAUCUUUGAGCAUACCUGAUGAACAGUUACACUCAUUUGCGGUUUCCACCGUGCACAUUACGAAGAACAGAAAUGGAGGUGGGAGUUUAAAUAACUAUUCCUCCUCCAUUCCAUCGACUCCCAGCACCAGCCAGGAGGACCCUCAGUUCAGUGUUCCUCCCACUGCCAACACACCCACCCCCGUUUGCAAGCGGUCCAUGCGCUGGUCCAACCUGUUUACAUCUGAGAAAGGGAGUCACCCAGACAAAGAGAGGAAAGCCCCGGAGAAUCAUGCUGACACCAUCGGGAGCGGCAGAGCCAUCCCCAUUAAACAGGGCAUGCUCUUAAAGCGAAGUGGGAAAUGGCUGAAGACAUGGAAAAAGAAAUACGUCACCCUGUGUUCCAAUGGCGUGCUCACCUAUUAUUCAAGCUUAGGUGAUUAUAUGAAGAAUAUUCAUAAAAAAGAGAUUGACCUUCGGACAUCUACCAUCAAAGUCCCAGGAAAGUGGCCAUCCCUAGCCACAUCGGCCUGUGCACCCAUCUCCAGCUCUAAAAGCAAUGGCCUAUCCAAGGACAUGGACACCGGGCUGGGUGACUCCAUAUGCUUCAGCCCCAGUAUCUCCAGCACCACCAGCCCCAAGCUCAACCCGCCCCCCUCUCCUCAUGCCAAUAAAAAGAAACACCUAAAGAAGAAAAGCACCAACAACUUUAUGAUUGUGUCUGCCACUGGCCAAACAUGGCACUUUGAAGCCACGACGUAUGAGGAGCGGGAUGCCUGGGUCCAAGCCAUCCAGAGCCAGAUCCUGGCCAGCCUGCAGUCAUGCGAGAGCAGUAAAAGCAAGUCCCAGCUGACCAGCCAGAGCGAGGCCAUGGCCCUGCAGUCGAUCCAAAACAUGCGUGGGAACGCCCACUGUGUGGACUAUGAGACCCAGAAUCCUAAGUGGGCCAGUUUGAACUUGGGAGUCCUCAUGUGUAUUGAAUGCUCAGGAAUCCACCGCAGUCUUGGCACCCGCCUUUCCCGUGUGCGAUCUCUGGAGCUGGAUGACUGGCCAGUUGAGCUCAGGAAGGUUAUGUCAUCUAUUGGCAAUGACCUAGCCAACAGCAUCUGGGAAGGGAGCAGCCAGGGGCAGACAAAACCCUCAGUAAAGUCCACGAGGGAAGAGAAGGAACGGUGGAUCCGUUCCAAAUAUGAGGAGAAGCUCUUUCUGGCCCCACUACCCUGCACUGAGCUGUCCCUGGGCCAGCACCUGCUGCGGGCCACCGCUGAUGAGGACCUGCAGACAGCCAUCCUGCUGCUGGCACAUGGCUCCCGUGAGGAGGUGAACGAGACCUGUGGGGAGGGAGACGGCUGCACGGCGCUCCAUCUGGCCUGCCGCAAGGGGAAUGUGGUCCUGGCACAGCUCCUGAUCUGGUACGGGGUGGACGUCAUGGCCCGAGAUGCCCACGGGAACACAGCGCUGACCUACGCCCGGCAGGCCUCCAGCCAGGAGUGCAUCAACGUGCUUCUGCAGUACGGCUGCCCCGACGAGUGCGUGUAGUAUCUGUUUUAUUUGACUGCAGUCUCCUUGGUGCAAAAACAAAAUGGGAAAAAUAAGGAUAACUCAGAAUUUCAAAAGGAAAUCACAAAUUCAGCUAGUAAUAGCAUUUUCAGUACUUUUCAUAAACUAAGUAAAUACACAAAAUGUUGAUUUUUCUGACCAUAAGACAUAUUUUAUGUCCUUUUGCCAAGGUGGAUGUGUUAGUCUCAGGCCCUCCUGGCCACAUUGCCCAAGUCACACAGGCUUCUGUAUUAUGUAUUUAGAUAAAAUGUGUGAAAAUAUAUUUGAAAAAAAAGUUCAUAAAUAUGCAUUGAUUUUUGUACACAUGGCACCUCUUUUUCAUUUUUAUUUUUAUUUUUUUUUUGGACGAUGUUUUGCUCUGUUGCCCCAGCUGGAGUGCAGUGGCAUGAUAUCUGCUCACUGCAAGCUCUGCCUCCCGGAUUCACACCAUUCUCCUGCCUCAGCCUCUCAGGUAGCUGGGACUACAGGUGCCUGCCACCACACCUGGCUAAUUUUUUGUAUUUUUAGUAGAGACGUGGUUUCACCAUGUUAGCCAGGAUGGUCUCGAACUCCUGACCUCGUGAUCCACCUGCCUCGGCCUCCCAAAGUGUUGGGAUUACGGGCGUGAGCCACCGUACCCGGCCCAUGGCACCUCUCUUAAUUUAUAAAUUGAACUGGAUGUGAAGUAAUAAUGUCAGCUAGUUGAGAUAAGAGGGUUACAGUUCGGCUGGGCGCAGUGGCUCACACCUGUAAUCCUAGCACUUUGGGAGGCUUAGGCGGACUGAUCACCAGGUCAGGAGAUUGAGACCAUCCUGGCUAACAUCAUGAAACCCCAUCUCUACUAAAAAAUACAAAAAAUUAGCUGGGCAUGGCCGGGCGUGGUGGCUCACACCUGUAAUCCCAGCACUUUGGGAGGCCGAGGCAGGCGGAUCACGAGGUCAGGAGAUCAAGACCAUCCUGGCUAACAUGGUGAAACCCCGUCUCUACUAAAAAUACAAAAAAAAAAAAAAAAAUUAGCCAGGUGUGGUGGCAGGCACCUGUAGUCCCAGCUACUCGGGAGGCUGAGGCAGGAGAAUGGUGUGAACCCAGGAGGCGGAGCUUGCAAUGAGCUGAGAUUGCACCACUGCACUCCAGCCUGGGCAACCAAGCGAGACUCCAUCUCAAAAAAAAAAAAAAAAUUAGCUGGGCAUGGUGGCGGGCACCUGUAGUCCCAGCUACUUGGGAGGCUGAGGCAGGAGAAUGGCAUGAACUCAGGAGGCAAAGCUUGCAGUGAGCAGAGACUGUGCCACUGCACUCCAGCCUGGGCAACAGAGCGAGACUCUGUCUCAAAAAAAAAAAAGAAAAGAAAAAGAGGGUUACAGAUCAUUGCACAUGGAAAAUAUUCCCAGCAGUAAACACUUCCAUUAAUGUGAUCUACAGCUUUUAAAAAGGAGCAUCUCAGAAUAAGAUGGUGGUACAAUUUGCUUAUUGAGAAAGGAAAAAAAAAACACACGAGUAUAUUACAAAGGGAAAAGAAGGAAUGUGAUUUCUCAUGAUUGAAAGCUUGAUUUAGAUUGCAUACAGCUUUUGCUACCCAAGACCAAGCGGCUCUGGCAAGACAGGGUGGUUUUCCGAAUGCCAGACCGAGGUGCCUUAUGAAGGCAGCUGCCGAUGGUUCCAGAUGUAGAGAGAUAGGUGAUGCAGGAGGGAAAGCUGGAUUGGAAAAGGGAGAGUUUUGUAGACCGGCUACACUCAUUGUGCCUUUGAAAGAGCAGAGCCGGCAGCCUCUAGUCAUCAUUUGGAUAUACAGGACUGGAGCAUGAAUCUGAUGUAGAGCUACAGAAUGAAGAGCAACAGCAGCUGUUUAAAUACCGAGAAAGUGUGUAGAAUGAAAUUGGACAAGCCAAGCAUGGUGGUUUCAUGCCUUUAGUCCUAGCUACUUCGGAGGCUGAGGUGGGGGAAUUACUUGAGCUCAGCAGUUUGAGUCCAGCCUGGGCCAGAUGUUGAGACCCUGUAUCUUAAGAAAAGAAAAAAAUAAGACCAGGUACAGUAUCUCAUGCCUGUAAUCCCAGCACUUUGGGAGGCCAAGUUGAGAGGACUGCUCGAGUGUAGGAGUUCAAGACCAGACUGGGCAAUAAAGUGAGACCCAUUUCUUUUUUUUUUUUUUUUAACUUCUUAAAUGCACAAAUUUAUUUUUUCUCAACAAACACACAUCUUAAUGCCUUUACAACUUUUAUCUCCCCAAAUAUAUCUUGCUUUUCUUUAUAUGUGCUGUAUACAGAGUUGUUUUCCUUAUAUUUAGUAGUUAUUGCUUUUUUGUGCCCUUUUGCGUCCUGAAUUUACACAUCAGGCAUAGAUCUUGGGACAGGAAAGAGCUGUGAAGCAAAUUCCUGGAAAAUCAAACCCCUUCCAGCAUGGCCAGGUAGCACAGCUGAGCCAGGGAUGAUGGGGCCAUAUUGGGUUUGGCUCUGCCUUGCAGCUGGCAGUCCAAACACUGAGGACAUGCAUAUUUCUGCAGGCCAGUGAGACCCAUUUCUACCAAAAAAAAAAAAAAAAAAUCAAGAAAUUAGCUGGACAUGGUGGCACAUGCCUGUGGCCCCAGUUACAUGGCAUGGCAGGCUGAGGCAGGAAGAUCACUUGAGCCCAGGAGGUGGAGGCUGCAGUGACCCAUAUACAUGCCACUGCACUCCAGCCUGGGCAACAGAGUGAGACCCUCUCUCAAAAACAGAUAAAGUGGACAGAAAAUAGGUUGGUAAGGACUAAUCAUUUAAGGGACAAGCCCCCAGAAGAGUGGCUACUAGAGUGGGAGGAGGAAAAGCAGAAGGAGAAAGAGUUGAAGACAGGCGAGGCUGUGGUCCCAGUGCUGAAUUCUGCCAAGCAGUGACUUGAUUCAUGAACACUCACUGGAUGCUGACUCUGUUGCUCUUCUGAGUGCUGGGGUAGAGGAGAGGAGAGGUGGAGCCCAGUUCUUGCUUUUAGGAGCUUAUGUUCUAGGAAGUUCAAGUAUUUUUUCAGGUAGUAUGAAAUAGCAGGAAGAGGAAGCAGGCUAAAGGGACACAGAGUGAUUGGGGGCUAUUUUAAGUAGAAUGAUAAGGAAGAGCCUGUCUAGAGAGCUAUUUGAACAAUGACCUGACUGAAGGGACAACAGAAAGCAGUGCUGACAUUACAGGUAGCAGGAUGACUGCCAAGACAGAAACGCAUUUCAUAUGUGUUUGAGGAACAAACAGCAAGGUGACCAGCAUGGGGAGAGUGAAGAAUGAGGGAAACCUUGAAUGAGAGUAAAGCAAUUCCAUCUUGGAGGCUAAUCUGCCAUAUUCUGAUUAAUCCCAGUUCCAAGAAUUCAUCUACAAUUUCUAUUUUAUCUUUUUAAAAAUAUUAUUUUUUAUUUUUUAUUUUUUGAGACAGUCUCACUCUGUCUCCCAGGUUGGACUGCAGUGGCACAAUCUCAGCUCACUGCAAACUUCACCUCCUGGGUUCAAGCGAUUCUCCUGCCUCAGCUUCCCGAGUAACUGGGAUUACAGGCGCCUGCCACCAUGCCUGGCUAAUUUUUGUAUUUUUAGUACAGAUGAGGUUUUACCAUGUUGGCCAGGCUGGUCUGGAACUCCUGACCUCAGGUGAUCCGCCCACCUUGGCCUCCCAAAGAGCUGGGAUUACAGGCGUGAGCCACCGUGUCUGGCCAUACACAUCCCUGCCGAAGCCCGCAUUACCCUUCCCCUAUGCUAUAGAAGCCCUGGGUCGGGGGGGUGGGGGUAAUGGCACAGGGAUCCACCAUCUUAUCUUGGUGCCAUCCCUGACUUGGCUUCUGUUCAUAAACGCCUAUUAAAUGUUUCUUUCUGAGAAACUGGAUUUGUCAGCCUCUUUCUUUGGUAUCUCAGGUUCCUUGGCCUUUGCGGGUAGGUUUAUAUAGACCUGCUCAGCACAGGACAGGCAGUUUCUCAAAAAAUUAAAAAUAGAAUUACCAAAUGAUCCAGCAAUAUCACUUCUGGGUAUAUAGCCAAAAUAAUUGAAAGCAAGGUCUCAUAGAAAUAUUUGUACACUGAUAUUUAUAGCAGUGGUAUUCACACUCAUCAAAAGAUGGAUGCAGCCUAAUUGUCCAUAGGCAGAUGAAUUGAUAAAAUGUGGUAUAUACAUACAAUAAAAUAUUCUUCAGCCUUAAAAAGGAAGGAAAUUCUAACACAUGCUACAACAUGGAUGAACAUUGAGGACAUUAUGCUAAGUGAAAUAAGCCAGUUAGAAAAAGACAAAUACUGUGUUCUUUCACUUAUGUGAAGCAUCCAGACUGAGUAAGCAAACUAAUAGAAACAGAAAGUAGAACGGGGGUUGCCAGGGACAUGGGGAAGGGAGAAAAUGGGAAGUUGCUUAGUGGAUAUAGAGUUUUGGUUUUGUCAGAUGAAAAAGUUCUGGAGAUUGGUUGCAUGGCAAUGUGAAUAUACUCUACAUUACCCAACCCAAGGGCUCUCCUUAACCCCUGUUCCGACUGCCACUUAGAAGUGGUUAAGGUAGUAAAUUUUAUGCAUAUUUUACCACAAUUCAAAAUAGAAUUAUUAUUUUUUUAUUAUAAUUUUUUGAGAUCCCUCACUCUGCUGCCCAGGCUGGAGUGCAAUGGCACCGUCUCGGCUCACUGCAACCUCUGC
rnacentral:lncRNA from 1 species